UUAACUAUUAGAUAGUACUCAGACGACACUAAAAUUCAGAGUUUGGGGUCCUCUGGCGAACGCUUACCAGCCGGAGCCGGUAGACUGACCGAAGCCUGUCGGCCCGCCAAAGCAACAAAGGUAAUAUAACAUAGGGUGGGAGAUCUACCCGUAAGGGCAUGAACUCGGUAAUGAUCCCUCCGCAGGUUCACCUACGGAGA
rnacentral:misc_RNA from 1 species